rnacentral:rRNA from 1 species
CCUACGGGACGCAGCAGUGAGGAAUAUUGGUCAAUGGGCGCGAGCCUGAACCAGCCAAGUCGCGUGAGGGAUGACGGCCCUACGGGUUGUAAACCUUUUUUGCCGGGGAGCAACGGGCGCCACGUGUGGCGCCACUGAGAGUACCCGGAGAAAAAGCAUCGGCUAACUCCGUGCCAGCAGCCGCGGUAAUACGUAGGGGGCAAGCGUUAUCCGGAUUUACUGGGUGUAAAGGGAGCGUAGACGGUGCAGCAAGUCUGAUGUGAAAGGUCGGGGCCCAACCCCGGGACUGCAUUGGAAACUGUUGG